rnacentral:rRNA from 1 species
GCGCAGCAGUCGAGAAAACUUCACACUGUGCGAAAGCACGAUGAGGGAAUCCCAAGUGCUUGCACGUAAGUGUAAGCUGUUUCUCUGUCUAAAACGCAGAGAGAGUAAGGGCUGGGUAAGACGGGUGCCAGCCGCCGCGGUAAUACCUGCAGCUCAAGUGGUGACCGUUAUUAUUGGGCCUAAAACGUCCGUAGCCGGUUUAAUAAAUGCCUGGGUAAAUUGUGUAGCUUAACUAUACGAAUUCCGGGUAGACUGUUAAACUUGAGACCGGGAGAAGUUAGAGGUACUCCUGGGGUAGAGGUGAAAUUCUGUAAUCCUAGGGGGACCACCAGUGGCGAAGGCGUCUAACUAGAACGGGUCUGACGGUGAGGGACGAAGCCCUGGGGCGCAAACGGGAUUAGAUACCCCGUAGU